GACGAACGCUGGCGGCAUGCCUAACACAUGCAAGUCGAACGAAGCCUUCGGGCUUAGUGGCGCACGGGUGCGUAACGCGUGGGAAUCUGCCCUUGGGUUCGGAAUAACAGUUAGAAAUGACUGCUAAUACCGAAUGAUGUCUUCGGACCAAAGAUUUAUCGCCCAAGGAUGAGCCCGCGUCGGAUUAGCUAGUUGGUGAGGUAAAGGCCCACCAAGGCGACAAUCCGUAGCUGGUCUGAGAGGAUGAUCAGCCACACUGGGACUGAGACACGGCCCAGACUCCUACGGGAGGCAGCAGUGGGGAAUAUUGGACAAUGGGCGAAAGCCUGAUCCAGCAAUGCCGCGUGAGUGAUGAAGGCCUUAGGUUGUAAAGCUCUUUACCCGGGAUGAUAAUGACAGUACCGGGAGAAUAAGCCCGGCUAACUCCGUGCCAGCAGCCGCGGU
rnacentral:rRNA from 1 species